UGGCUCAGUGGUUAAGAGCACUGAGUGUUCUUCCAGAGGACCUGGGUUCAAUUCCCAG
rnacentral:tRNA from 1 species